rnacentral:rRNA from 1 species
UACGUAGGGUGCGAGCGUUGUCCGGAAUUAUUGGGCGUAAAGGGCUCGUAGGCGGUUUGUCGCGUCGGGAGUGAAAUCCACUGGCUUAACUGGUGGCUUGCUUUCGAUACGGGGCAGACUGGAGGUAUGCAGGGGAGAACGGAAUUCCUGGUGUAGCGGUGAAAUGCGCAGAUAUCAGGAGGAACACCGGUGGCGAAGGUGGUUCUCUGGGCAUGUCCUGACGCUGAGGAGCGAAAGUGUGGGGGAGCGAACAGG